CCUUAAAUACUCACAAUUGCCGUGCCUGAAGCCCCAUUCUCUAUGACAACCCCAUUAAAUGGAGAGGACACAAAACCUGACAAGUGACAACCCAUUCUCUUCUUUCAUACGCUUCAUUUCCAUCAUUUCAGAUCUCGAAUUCUCCUCACCGGCGCAACUCCUCUCCAUUUCCAUCUGUCCUCACCGGCCAACCAUCCAACCAUCCACCCAUCCACCGAGUCUCUCUCCCCCCAAGUGUUUCCAGCGAGUCUGCCGGAACGAGAUCUCCAGCGCAACCAGCCAACCGUCACCCGGCACCGAACGAGAUCUCCAUCUUUUUACUCUGCUCCGCCGCCAGCUGCUAUACUACCAGACACGGCCGAUCCCCAACGUCUCCAAGUCUGGAAGUUCAUAUCUGUUGGCAGAGAUGUUGAACUGACACCAUAAAGGACCCAGCAGAUCUGAUGGAGGAAUAGUAGCAGUACGUGGUGCGGUGGAGGAAGGAGGAACAGUGGCGGUGCAGCGGCGAAGCGAGGAACAGAGACGGCGCGGAGAUAGGAUUUUGGCUUGCCGUCUCUGAUCUGUGAUCUUCAAUUUUCUUUUUGAUUUUUUUUUUUGUUUUGAUUUAGUGAAUUGAAAAACUUAGUAUUUUUUUAUGCUAUAUUUUGAGAUUGGCAGUGUAAAUGCUAAAAAAAUUUUAUGCUAUGUAAAUUCUUAUAAAUUCUGCUAUAUAAUUUCCUGAAAAUUAAUUUUGAGAUUUGGCAGUAA